UCUCGCUCUAGUGCGCUGUAAAAAGACAUCACAAUUUCCCCUAAAUAGAAGACGGAAAACUCAACAAGGCAAAUUAGAACAACUGGUAGCAACCUUUCAAUUCAGAUUCGGAAUCGGAGUCCGAGAAAAUCAGUCCGAGAAAAGUUCAUGACUUUGCACUUUGCAGGUACAAUAAAGAAAUUAAGUGUGCCACUAUUACUCAAGGUGCUUAUUUUGGCGUCCAAUGGGAUGCGUCAUUCUUUUCAUCUUUGCUCAUAUUAUUGGUGGUAAUAAGCUAUUUAUGCUAUAAAUCUAUAAGUAAAGGUGGUAUCACGUGAUGUAACUGCUGCCUUUGCAACUGAUGCCCACAUGCAACGGUUUAACUUGCAUUAUAUGUUGGAAGAGUUCAAAUGCAACAAUCAUAAACGUUCUAAAUGGUGACUUUAAAGUAUUUGCUUUAUUUUUCUUAGUUGAUGGCAUCUCUAAACUAUGGCUUACCUAAAAAUAGUAUAUGAAACCUAUGGCACCAUCUUUGGAGAAUCAAUUCUCCGACCAAACAUAAAUCAGACAUGUCCCAGGUAUUGUUAAUUCUUAUACUUGCUGUUGUCAUCCUUUAUCUGUUAGUAGUUCAUUUGAACACAAGAUAUGAUAAGUUGCAUGAUUGUUUUUUCCAUGUUUUCUAGCAGGUUGGUCUGAACAAUAUGUAUAUAUGGACGUAUUUAUGGAGAUAAAUAUCGGCAAUUGAAACAGUUAUUCAAGGAGUUGAAAGACUCAAAAUUAGCUUUGACAAAGUUAAUCCUUUAUUUGUUUUGUACCUUUUUGAUUGUAAUGUUACAUGUUUAUUUAUGCUCUACUCCAAUUUUGUUAUGAUUAGGAAUAUUGUCCUAAUCCAUUUAGAAAAUAUUUUUUCCUUAAAUGUAAUCCUUUUCGCAA